rnacentral:misc_RNA from 1 species
GUAUUUUGAAUUGUUUUAUUCAUAAUAUUUUUCAGACAAAGAGUUGAGAUAUAGUUGAUGUUUGGGGCUGAUCCUCUCGAGAGAAAAUCAACCCUGACAUUGCACACAAGGUGGAUAUGGAUUUAAAAAAGUGCCAUAAAACACUUAUUAUGAAUGAUCCUUCCGCAGGUUCACCUACGGAAA